GUGGGGAAUUUUGGACAAUGGGGGCAACCCUGAUCCAGCCAUCCCGCGUGUGCGAUGAAGGCCUUCGGGUUGUAAACUGCUUUUGUACGGAACGAAACGGUCCUGGUUAAUACCCGGGGCUAAUGACGGUACCGUAAGAAUAAGCACCGGCUAACUACGUGCCAGCAGCCGCGGUAAUACGUAGGGUGCAAGCGUUAAUCGGAAUUACUGGGCGUAAAGCGUGCGCAGGCGGUGCUGUAAGACAGGCGUGAAAUCCCCGGGCUUAACCUAGGAAUUGCGCUUGUGACUGCAGUGCUGGAGUGCGGCAGAGGGGGAUGGAAUUCCGCGUGUAGCAGUGAAAUGCGUAGAUAUGCGGAGGAACACCGAUGGCGAAGGCAAUCCCCUGGGCCUGCACUGACGCUCAUGCACGAAAGCGUGGGGAGCAAACAGGAUUAGAAACCCGUGUAGUCC
rnacentral:rRNA from 1 species